rnacentral:rRNA from 1 species
CCUGACGGUAGUCGUAUGCUCGUCUCCGAGACUAAGCCAUGCAAGUCCAAGUACACGUCCUUGAACGACGGAAACUGCGAACGGCUCAUUAAAUCAGUUGCGAUCUACUCGGCGUUCCGCGCCGCCGGAUAACCGUAGUAAUUCUAGGGCUAAUACGUGCGAAGCGCCCGAAGCCGCGAGGCGACGGGCGUUCUCGCCGGAUGUAGGAACCGACCCGGGGACCGCCGGGGCAACCCGGCGCCCCCGAGACGGGGCGAACCACGGUGAAAUGACGGAUCGUCGGCCCCGCGCCGGCGACUCGCCGAAUGAGUUUCUGACCUAUCAACUCGAGACGGCGGGGUAGAGGCCCGCCGCGGUAACGACGGGUAACGGGGAAUCAGGGUUCGAUUCCGGAGAGGGAGCCCGAGAAACGGCUACCACUUCCAAGGAAGGCAGCAGGCGCGCAACUUACCCUAAUCUCGAUUCGAGGAGGUAGUGACAAGAAAUACCGAUGCGGG